rnacentral:lncRNA from 1 species
AUGUCUGGAGUCUGGAACACCUUGUCUGGAGUCUGGAACACCUUGUCUGGAGUCUGGAACACCUCGUCUGGAGUCUGGAACACCUCGUCUGGAGUCUGGAACACCUUGUCUGGAGUCUGGAACACCUUGUCUGGAGUCUGGAACACCUUGUCUGGAGUCUGGAACACCGUGUCUGGAGUCUGGAACACCGUGUCUGGAGUCUGGAACACCUUGUCUGGAGUCUGGAACACCUUGUCUGGAGUCUGGAACACCGUGUCUGGAGUCUGGAACACCGUGUCUGGAACACCUAUCUGGAGUCUGGAACACCGUGUCUGGAACACCUAUCUGGAGUCUGGAACACAGUGUCUGGAACACCUAUCUGGAGUCUGGAACACCGUGUCUGGAACACCUAUCUGGAGUCUGGAACACCUUGUCUGGAACACCUUGUUUGGAGUCUGGAACACCUUGUCUGGAGUCUGGAACACCUUGUCUGGAACACCUAUCUGGAGUCUGGAACACCUUGUCUGGAGUCUGGAACACCUUGUCUGGAACACCUAUCUGGAGUCUGGAACACCUUGUCUGGAGUCUGGAACACCUAUCUGGAGUCUGGAACACCUAUCGGGAGUCUGGAACACCGUGUCUGGAACACCUAUCUGGAGUCUGGAACACCUUGUCUGGAACACCUUGUCUGGAGUCUGGAACACCUUGUCUGGAACACCUAUCUGGAGUCUGGAACACCUUGUCUGGAGUCUGGAACACCUUGUCUGGAGUCUGGAACACCUUGUCUGGAGUCUGGAACACCUAUCUGGAGUCUGGAACACCUUGUCUGGAACACCUUGUCUGGAGUCUGGAACACCUUGUCUGGAGUCUGGAACACCGUGUCUGGAACACCUUGUCUGGAGUCUGGAACACCGUGUCUGGAGUCUGGAACACCUUGUCUGGAGUCUGGAACACCUUGUCUGGAGUCUGGAACACCUUGUCUGGAGUCUGGAACACCUUGUCUGGAGUCUGGAACACCUUGUCUGGAGUCUGGAACACCUUGUCUGGAGUCUGGAACACCUUGUCUGGAGUCUGGAACACUGUGUCUGGAGUCUGGAACAUCAUGUCUGGAGUCUGGAACACCUUGUCUGGAGUCUGGAACACCUUGUCUGGAGUCUGGAACACCUCGUCUGGAGUCUGGAACACCUCGUCUGGAGUCUGGAACACCGUGUCUGGAGUCUGGAACACUGUGUCUGGAGUCUGGAACACCUUUCUAAAACGAGGUAUCUAUCUGGAAUCUGGAACACCGUGUCUGUUGACAUUGUUUCCCUAUUGACUUGA